rnacentral:rRNA from 1 species
AACAAACGCUGGCGGCGUGCCUAACACAUGCAAGUCGAACGCGAAAAUCGGCUUCGGCCGAUGAGUAAAGUGGCGCACGGGUGAGUAACGCGUGGAUAAUCUACCCUUCAGUUGGGAAUAACUUAUCGAAAGGUGAGCUAAUACCGAAUAAAACUGCCUGACCACGGUCGGGUAGUCAAAGAUAGCCUCUGCUUGCAAGCUUUCGCUGAAUGAUGAGUCCGCGUACCAUUAGCUAGUUGGUGGGGUAAUGGCCUACCAAGGCGACGAUGGUUAGCUGGUCUGAGAGGAUGAUCAGCCACACUGGAACUGAGACACGGUCCAGACUCCUACGGGAGGCAGCAGUGAGGAAUCUUGCGCAAUGGGGGAAACCCUGACGCAGCAACGCCGCGUGAGUGAGGAAGGUCUUCGGAUCGUAAAGCUCUGUCGGGUGGAAAGAAUGUAUGGGGUUAAUAGCCUUCAUACUUGACGGUACCACCAAAGGAAGCACCGGCUAACUCCG